rnacentral:rRNA from 1 species
AUUGAACGCUGGCGGAAUGCUUUACACAUGCAAGUCGAACGGCAGCACGGACUUCGGUCUGGUGGCGAGUGGCGAACGGGUGAGUAAUGUAUCGGAACGUGCCCAGUCGUGGGGGAUAACGUAGUGAAAAUUACGCUAAUACCGCAUACGAUCUAUGGAUGAAAGCGGGGGAUCGCAAGACCUCGCGCGAUUGGAGCGGCCGAUAUCAGAUUAGGUAGUUGGUGGGGUAAAGGCCCACCAAGCCAACGAUCUGUAGUUGGUCUGAGAGGACGACCAGCCACACUGGAACUGAUACACGGUCCAGACUUCUACGGGAGGCAGCAGUGGGGAAUUUUGGACAAUGGGCGAAAGCCUGAUCCAGCCAUUCCGCGUGCAGGAUGAAGGCCCUCGGGUUGUAAACUGCUUUUGUACAGAACGAAAAGGUUUCUACUAAUACUAGGAGCUCAUGACGGUACUGUAAGAAUAAGCACCGGCUAACUACGUGCCAGCCGCCGCUGUAA